rnacentral:tRNA from 1 species
GUGGCUCAGUGGUAGAGCGCUUGCCUUUCAUGCAAGAGGCCCUGGGUUCGAUUCUUCAGC